rnacentral:rRNA from 1 species
GGGUUAACGUCCCGUAACGAGCGCCAACCCUUGUCCUUAUUUGCCAGCGAGUAAAGUCGGGAACUCUAAGGAGACUGCCGGUGACAAACCGGAGGAAGGUGGGGACGACGUCAAGUCAUCAUGGCCCUUACGGGUAGGGCUACACACGUGCUACAAUGGCCAGUACAAAGGGUUGCCAACUCGCGAGAGUGCGCUAAUCCCAUAAAGCUGGUCUCAGUCCGGAUCGGAGUCUGCAACUCGACUCCGUGAAGUCGGAAUCGCUAGUAAUCGUGAAUCAGAAUGUCACGGUGGAUACGUUCCCGGGCCUU